rnacentral:rRNA from 1 species
AUGGAACAAUACGUCCGCCUCUGGGAGCUCUUGUCGGAUAUCCAGCUUCAACCUGACACUGAGGACUCCAUUACCUGGUCCUUGACCCCUAAUGGGUGCUACUCGGCCACCUCCGCCUACAUGGUCCAGUUCCUUGCCUCUUUGCCCUGCCAGUUCGGGAACAUCGUGUGGAAGACCUGGGCCCCUCCAAAGUGUCGUUUCUUCGCCUGGCUCGCUGUCCAGAAUCGUUUAUGGACCGCCGAUCGCUUGGCGAAACGCGGAUGGCCGCACCAACCUACUUGUCAGCUCUGCCGUACCUCCCCUGAGACGGCACGGCACAUUCUUUUCGAGUGCCGCUUCUCCAGACGUAUCUGGACGGCCGCGGCCUCUUGGCUGUCUUGUCCAGACCUCAUCAGCAGCAUCGGGGAGGGUAGGCCUAAAGUCGUGGACUAUUGGUUGGCCGUUUCGAAGUCAACCACCUCCUCCCCAAAUGGCUUGCGCUCAGCUAUCACGCUCAUCACUUGGGAGAUCUGGAAAGAGAGGAACGAACGAGUUUUCAACAACAAGUCCUCCCUGCCAUCGGUUGUCAUGCAUAAGAUUAGGGAAGAGGGGAAGGACUGGAUCCUCGCCGGUGCUAAAAAUCUGGCGGAACUUGUAGGCUGA